rnacentral:rRNA from 1 species
UUGUGGUGUAGCGGUGAAAAUGCUUUAGAUAUCACACAGAACACCGAUUGCGAAGGCAGCACACUAAGUCAUUAUUGACGCUGAGGCACGAAAGUGUGGGGAUCAAACAGGAUUAGACACCCUGGUAGUCCACACUGUAAACGAUGAUAACUCGCUGUCGGCGAUACACAGUCGGUGGCCAAGCGAAAGCAUUAAGUUAUCCACCUGGGGAGUACGACCGCAAGGUUGAAACUCAAAGGAAUUGACGGGGGCCCGCACAAGCGGAGGAACAUGUGGUUUAAUUCGAUGAUACGCGAGGAACCCUACCCGGGCUCGAACGGUGCAUGAAUAUACGAGAGAUUGUAUAGUCCUUCGGGACAUGUAUCGAGGUGCUGCAUGGUUGUCGUCAGCUCGUGCCGUGAGGUGUCGGCUUAAGUGCCAUAACGAGCGCAACCCUUGUCAUUAGUUGCCAUCAGGUCAAGCUGGGGACUUUAAUGAGACUGCCACCGUAAGGUGUGAGGAAGGGGGGGAUGACGUCAAAUCAGCACGGCCCUUAUGUCCGGGGCGACACACGUGUUACAAUGGGAGGUACAGAGGGCAGCUAUCCGGUGACGGAAUGCUAAUCUCCAAAACCUUUCUCAGUUCGGAUUGGAGUCUGCAACUCGACUCCAUGAAGGUGGAUUCGCUAGUAAUCGCGCAUCAGCCAUGGCGCGGUGAAUACGUUCCCGGGCCUUGUACACACCGCCCGUCAAGCCAUGGAAGCUUGGGGUGCCUGAAGUUCGUGACCGCAAGGAGCGACCUAAGGCAAAANCAGGUAACUGGGGCUAAGUCGUAACCAAGGUAACCCGAAAGGGCGAAUUUCGUAACUCG